CGGCCGCGGUACCCUAACCGUGCGAAGGUAGCGCAAUCACUUGUUCUUUAAAUGAGGACUAGUAUGAAUGGCAUCACGAGGGUUAUACUGUCUCCCUCUUUUAAUCAGUGAAACUGAUCUUCCCGUGAAGAAGCGGGAAUACAUCUAUAAGACGAGAAGACCCCAUGGAGCUUUAAACUCAGUAUCAACUGCCCUCCCAAUAUAUCCACCUAAUUAAGCAGACAUGACUACUAGUUUUCGGUUGGGGUGACCGCGGAGCAAAACAAAACCUCCACGAUGAAAGGAAUUAACCUCCUAAUCAAAGAGCUACAUCUCUAAGAAUCAACAAAUUGACAUUUAUUGAUCCAAUUUUUUUGAUCAACGAACCAAGUUACCCUGGGGAUAACAGCGCAAUCCAUUUCAAGAGCCCCUAUCGACAAAUGGGUUUACGACCUCGAUGUUGGAUCAGGGUAUCCCAGUGGUGCAGCCGCUACUAAAGGUUCGUUUGUUCAACGAUUAAAACCCU
rnacentral:rRNA from 1 species